rnacentral:rRNA from 1 species
AACGCGAAGAACCUUACCAAAUCUUGACAUCCUUUGACCGCUCUAGAGAUAGAGUCUUCCCCUUCGGGGGACAAAGUGACAGGUGGUGCAUGGUUGUCGUCAGCUCGUGUCGUGAGAUGUUGGGUUAAGUCCCGCAACGAGCGCAACUCUUAAGCUUAGUUGCCAUCAUUAAGUUGGGCACUCUAGGUUGACUGCCGGUGACAAACCGGAGGAAGGUGGGGAUGACGUCAAAUCAUCAUGCCCCUUAUGAUUUGGGCUACACACGUGCUACAAUGGAUAAUACAAAGGGCAGCGAAUCCGCGAGGCCAAGCAAAUCCCAUAAAAUUAUUCUCAGUUCGGAUUGUAGUCUGCAACUCGACUACAUGAAGCUGGAAUCGCUAGUAAUCGUAGAUCAGCACGCUACGGUGAAUACGUUCCCGGGUCUUGUACACACCG